rnacentral:rRNA from 1 species
CAGUAGCCACGGGAAUACGAAGGGGGCUAGCGUUGUUCGGAAUUACUGGGCGUAAAGCGCACGUAGGCGGAUACUUAAGUUAGGGGUGAAAUCCCGGGGCUCAACCCUGGAACUGCCUUUAAUACUGGGUAUCUAGAGUAUGGUAGAGGUGAGUGGAAUUCCGAGUGUAGAGGUGAAAUUCGUAGAUAUUCGGAGGAACACCAGUGGCGAAGGCGGCUCACUGGACCAUUACUGACGCUCAGGUGCGAAAGCGUGGGGAGCAAACAGGAUUAGAUACCCCAGUAGUCCCUGUCUCUUAUAC